UAAAUGAAUGCCCAUUGGCUGGGCGCUUAACUGUUAAUUAAGACCUUGUGGGAUCGAGACCCACUCAUUUAG
rnacentral:tRNA from 1 species